GUGGGCUAUGAAGGUAGAGGUAAUGGGCACAUCGCAUCGAUUUGUUCGCUUGCUUUGAUUACUAUUUACCCGUACCAAAAGUAUCGGCUAGUAUAAUUCAAGAAACGUAGUGUAAGAUAAAAAUUAGCUGUACCUCGCACAUUUAUGGAGGGUAGAAGAACGCACAUUGUAGCGGUUUAGUUUGCGCUCGCUGCGCCGACAAUUAGACUCCAAGAAUGACAGCUCCCUGGUGGGACUUCUAAUCAUAUUCAGAUAUUAGUGGAUUUGUACGUACUUGAUUAAGUGAUGGAGGAGUCUUCAAGACCUAACAUAACGUUUCAUCCGAUUAUUUCAUCUAUCCAAAAAAUUGCAUUGUACGAAACAAAAUCGCGUUUCUAUCUGAUCGGCUCCAAUAUAACGCAGUCGAGAUUUCGAGUAUUGAAAAUUGAUCGCAUGGAGCCAAGGGAGCUGAUAAUUGUUGAUGACAAGACCGAGUAUACAAAAGAAGAAAUAAAAGAUCUGGUUAAAAUGAUUGAUGUAGGUAAUCGCAGUAGGAUCGGACAGCGUAAUAACAAUGGUGCAGUGGCUCGCAUUGCAUCUGCAUUUGGAAUUAUUGUUACUAACGGAGAGCUGCAGAGACAAGAGCCGCAAUCGUCAAAGCACAAGCCAACCCAAACGCGAUUUUCCUGGAACUCAAUAUGGCAACGGGAUUCGUUCCCAAGGCUAGUACCAGCUUUUGCCCUUCUUGGAUUCGUACGUUUUCUGGAAGGCUACUAUAUCAUUCUGGUGACCAAAAGAAGAAGAGUAGCUGUAAUUGGUCAUCAUACGUUGUACAAAAAUGAAGACACGGCUAUGAUUUACAUUCCAAAUGAUUCUGUUAGACUUUUUCAUCAUGACGAACAGAGAUAUGUCAAAAUGUUUCAGAGCAUUGAUCUAAGCAGUAACUUUUAUUUUAGUUACUCUUAUGAUUUAACACAGACUUUGCAGAUAAAUAUGGCGCCACCGAGGCAUAUCAAAUCAGACAUUCCAGAACUGAACAAUCAGACCAUAAAUGAAAACGACAAUGUGGAGGAUUCUGGAGAUUUUUUUAACAUGUGGGCUUUUAGGAAAACUUCACAAAGCACAGGACAUACUGCGCAAAAUAUCAAUUAUGGAGUACGUAGUAAUCCGAAUCGCCGAUUCGUUUGGAAUUCACAUUUGCUGCUUCCCGCCGAAAAAUAUUUGCACCCUGACUGGAUUUUGUACAUAACUCAUGGAUUUAUCGGGCAGUCAAAUAUCAGUAUUUUUGGAAAAUGUAUAUAUGUUACUCUGAUUGCUAGGAGAAGUACUAAGUAUGCGGGAACCAGGUUUCUAAAGAGGGGUGCAAAUUUUGAUGGUGACGUUGCCAAUGAAGUUGAGACAGAGCAGAUUGUGCAUGAUUCUGGAGUCAGUUCUUUUAGUAACGGACGCUUCAGCUCAUUUGUACAAAUGCGCGGAUCAGUUCCUGGUCAUUGGAGUCAAGACGUCAGCAAAAUGGUUCCAAAACCAACAAUUUCUUGUGAUCUGACUGACCCAUACUUCGAAACAGCAGGUGCGCAUUUUAAUCAAUUAUUGAAGAGAUAUGGAUCGCCAAUCAUAAUUUUAAAUCUUGUGAAGCAAAGAGAGAAAAAGAAACAUGAAAGCACAUUGAGCAAAGAACUGGGCGUGGCUGUGAAAUACUUGAAUCAAUUUUUACCACCGGAUCACCAGAUAGUUUACAUUAGUUUUGAUAUGGCUAGAAUGAAUAAGGGAAAAAAAGCUAACGUGAUGGGUCGAUUAGCAAACAUUGCUCAUGGCGCGGUAUUAAAGACUGGUAUUUUUCAAUCACAAAAUCCCUAUUACAGUAAUCAAAAUAUAUUUUCAACAUCCAAUACUAACAAGAAACCUCAUAGAAACGACUCGAACUCAACUCUGCCGGGAAUGUCUCGAAUUGAUCCGAAAAUUGCAUUUCACAGUAAAGGUCUACCCAGAUUAAACUCCAUUGGUCAGUUACUACCAGACUCUGAUAAUUAUUCAAAGACCUUAGCUCGUCCGGACAAGAUGGAAAGUGACUCUAUUGAAAGUAAAGUAAGACAAUGCUUUGCAAGAAAAGGAACAGUUCAGACUGGAAUUAUCAGAACCAACUGCGUAGAUUGUUUGGAUAGAACAAACACUGCUCAAUUUGCAAUCGGAAAAUAUGCUUUGGGUUUUCAAUUAUGUGCUCUUGGGGUGUUGGAAACUCCUAAGUUGGAAUUCGAUUCCGAUUGCGUAAGAUUACUAGAAGAACUUUAUGAGGACCAUGGUGAUACUUUGGCCUUACAGUAUGGUGGGUCGCAAUUAGUGCAUAGGAUAAAAACUUAUAGAAAAACCGCACCAUGGACAAGUCAGGGUAACGACAUAAUGCAAACAUUGAGUAGAUAUUUCAGCAAUACUUUUAGCGAUCAGGAGAAACAGCAUACGAUCAAUCUAUUUUUAGGCUUGUUUCACCCGGAAGAGGGCAGACUUCCGCUAUGGGAAUAUGUGACAGAUUACUAUCUUCAUCAUAAACCUGCAUGUAAAUAUCGUCGGAAAAACAAAGUCUUGACACAGUGGUGGGAAACUAAUGUCCUAAAAUGCUUGCCCUAUGCCCUGGCUGAAGUCACCAAAUCGUGUUCGGAAAUAAUUCAAGUACAGCAUACACAAGAGGAAAUGAUUGAUGUAUUUUAUGAUUAUCAUCGCCCUCAUGAGUUGUCGGUAUUGGACGACGUUUAUGCAUACAAGGUAGAAGAAGAGAAGGAGCUGGUAAUAAACAUGCUAACAUGAGGAAUCCUUCUAUGACUGGUCAAAGUAGUACCAGCAGUGCCGCAUCCAGCGCAAGUUCAAGUAUGGACUCUAGUUCGGACGAUGACGAGAGUCAUCUAAACAUCAAUGAUUCCCAAUUAACUGCGUCAAAAGAUAGUUCUGAAUUAG
rnacentral:misc_RNA from 1 species